UACGUAGGGUGCGAGCGUUAAUCGGAAUUACUGGGCGUAAAGCGUGCGCAGGCGGUUUGCUAAGACAGGUGUGAAAUCCCCGGGCUUAACCUGGGAACUGCGCUUGUUACUGGCAGGCUUGAGUGUGGCAGAGGGGGGUGGAAUUCCAGGUGUAGCGGUGAAAUGAGUAGAUAUCUGGAGGAACACCGGUGGCGAAGGCGGCAUCCUGGACCGGUAUUGACGCUGAGGCGCGAAAGCCAGGGGAGCAAACGGG
rnacentral:rRNA from 1 species